rnacentral:lncRNA from 1 species
GUAACCACACGUCCUCUGGCGUUGAGCACCAGCGUUUGCGCGGCCACAUACCAGAACCCUGAUGCAGCUACAGCGGAUCCCAGGAACUAGGAGCUUGAUAUGCAGACCUCCCAGGAACUGGAUAGGGGGGCACUGCAGCAGACAUGUAUCCAGUACAGAAACAAGGCAAGGCUAGAACAGGCACCAAACAUGAAAACAAGACAAAACUAGUAGAACCCAGAACCAGAGAAGGAUAGGAAGCUAAACCCAGAACAUGUACACAA